rnacentral:rRNA from 1 species
CAGAUGCUAAUACCGCAUAACAAAAUUAACCGCAUGGUUGAUUUUUAAAAGAUGGCUUCGGCUAUCACUUCUGGAUGGACCCGCGGCGUAUUAGCUAGUUGGUGAGAUAAAGGCUCACCAAGGCAGUGAUACGUAGCCGACCUGAGAGGGUAAUCGGCCACAUUGGGACUGAGACACGGCCCAGACUCCUACGGGAGGCAGCAGUAGGGAAUCUUCCACAAUGGACGCAAGUCUGAUGGAGCAACGCCGCGUGAGUGAUGAAGGCUUUCGGGUCGUAAAACUCUGUUGUUGGAGAAGAACGUGUGUGAGAGUAACUGCUCAUGCAGUGACGGUAUCCAACCAGAAAGCCACGGCUAACUACGUGCCAGCAGCCGCGGUAAUACGUAGGUGGCAAGCGUUAUCCGGAUUUAUUGGGCGUAAAGCGAGCGCAGGCGGUCUUUUAAGUCUAAUGUGAAAGCCUUCGGCUUAACCGAAGAAGUGCAUUGGAAACUGGGAGACUUGAGUGCAGAAGAGGAGAGUGGAACUCCAUGUGUAGCGGUGAAAUGCGUAGAUAUAUGGAAGAACACCAGUGGCGAACGCGGCUCUCUGGUCUGCAACUGACGCUGAGCUCGAAAGCAUGGGUAGCGAACAGGAUUAGAUACCCUGGUAGUCCAUGCCGUAACGAUGAAUGCUAGUGUUGGAGGGUUUCGCCCUUCAGUGCUGCAGCUUACGCAUAAGCAUUCGCCUGGGGAGUACGACCGC